rnacentral:rRNA from 1 species
CCCUUAGAUGUUCUGGGCUGCACGCGCGCUACACUGUCGGAUUCAGCGAGUCAUAUCCUUAACCGAAAGGUUUGGGUAAUCUUUUGAAAGUCCGACGUGAUGGGGAUUGAUCAUUGCAAUUAUUGAUCAUGAACGAGGAAUUCCUAGUAAGCGCGAGUCAUCAGCUCGCGUUGAUUACGUCCCUGCCCUUUGUACACACCGCCCGUCGCUACUACCGAUUGAAUGGUUUAGUGAGAUCUUCGGAUUGGCGCCUACGCGGCUUCUCUGAGGCCACGCUGGAUGCCGAAAAGUUGCUCAAACUGUAUCAUUUAGAGGAAGUAAAAGUCGUAACA